CAGUUGUUUCUAACAUCACCACCACCAGUACAACAGUUACACCACAGACAAGCUUACCUGUAAUAACACUGCUGAAUGGAUGCACCAGCUCUGGAGGAUGUCUUCAAAAUGUUCUUGCUCAGAUAGAGAACAUUACAGCUGAAGUGCUUCCACUGAAUACUGUGACUGACAUUUUGGCUAUGGCCUUCAAUGAAUCUGAGAAGAUUUCAGUGUCAUCAUCCUCAUCAACAUCAUCAUCAUCA